GUGAAUCAUCGAAUUUUUGAACGCAAAUUGCACUUUCUGGUAUUCCGGAAAGUAUGCCUGUUUGAGGGUCAGUAAAAUAAAAAUCGGUGUUGUUGUUGCUUUUCGUGGUGACGCGUCGGAAUUGCGUUCUCUUACCUUCUGUUAAGUGGCUUAAAAUUUUACAUGUUUUUCGAACGUUUUUAAAUUUCUUACGUACGUUUGUGAUAUCAAAUACUUUAUUAGGUUCGGUCAUCCUCCUGAUUCGCACCUAUACUUUUUCCUUAAAUGA
rnacentral:misc_RNA from 1 species